rnacentral:rRNA from 1 species
AUUGAACGCUGGCGGCAGGCCUAACACAUGCAAGUCGAGCGGAUGAGUGGAGCUUGCUCCAUGAUUCAGCGGCGGACGGGUGAGUAAUGCCUAGAAAUCUGCCUGGUAGUGGGGGACAACGUUUCGAAAGGAACGCUAAUACCGCAUACGUCCUACGGGAGAAAGUGGGGGAUCUUCGGACCUCACGCUAUCAGAUGAGACUAGGUCGGAUUAGCUAGUUGGUGAGGUAAAGGCUCACCAAGGCGACGAUCCGUAACUGGUCUGAGAGGAUGAUCAGUCACACUGGAACUGAGACACGGUCCAGACUCCUACGGGAGGCAGCAGUGGGGAAUAUUGGACAAUGGGCGAAAGCCUGAUCCAGCCAUGCCGCGUGUGUGAAGAAGGUCUUCGGAUUGUAAAGCACUUUAAGUUGGGAGGAAGGGCGGUAAGUUAAUACCUUGCUGUUUUGACGUUACCAACAGAAUAAGCACCGGCUAACUUCGUGCCAGCCGCCGCAGUAAUAC